rnacentral:lncRNA from 1 species
GAACACCAAAGAGAUGGGAACAGCAGGAGCUCAGAGCGCUGGAAGCAGCAAGAGAAUGGAAGAGCAAGAAAGCAGAUACCCUCCAGCCCAUGGGGACAAACAAUUAGGGAUGAAGUAGACUGAUGCUCUCCAGUGUAGGUGCUGUGUGCAAACUGACACUCAGAAUCCAGUCUGCACAUCCUUGAAGACCAAAGGAUGCCCAGGAUCAAAACAUCAGUGUUUUUGUGUGUUAGACACAAAGUCAAAACACUCAUUCUCUAUGGAGGAGAGAUCCUCCACAGAGAACAGAAGCCAAACCUGGAACUGAGGACAGUCACUGCAUACUUAAAAUUGCAGCUACAAACUAGGAAUCAUCUACCAUUGUAAGACCCAAGGCAUGGUUUAACUUAAGCCAUGGAUGGUUAAUUCCCCCUAGAAUACAGAAGUUACUAUAUAGCCCAGAAAUUCCACAUUCAGUUACUCAGAUGGAAAUUACAGCCGACACCACAAAGUCCAACUGUUGGAGACCUGAAAGUACUGCUUUCUUUUCUGUGAUGAGAUGGUAAGAUGCAGCCUUCCAUGGUUCUGCUUACCUGUUUUUCCUUUUAAAUUGCUGACGAGAGAGAAAAAGACUCCCUGCAAAGCCUAACACACUCUCAGAGACCAGAGGGAUGCAGCGAGGCAGACACCCAGCCACUGAUCUUCAAGCAGGUCCAUAGCAGCCUUAUUUAUGGGACAAGUCAUUUUACUUGCCUGCAGAAUGUGGAGGAUAUUGAAGAUAUUCAACUGUAAUCCGCAUACCAAAGAUACUGGUGAGUCAAAGCUGAGCUAUCUUUCUUGCAAGGUCUCUGGAACACUGCAUGGCAUUCAUUCAUCACAAGCAAGAGAACAGCUGUAGUCAUUUAAAACAGAAAUUCUGAUCAUUCCUGAAGCUACAAGGAGCCCUUGCAACCCAUGGCUAGAUAGACAUGGAAGUACAGGUAAGAAGAGUGAGAGAGUCUCAGCCAAAGCAUCUGGGAGGACUUGAAGGAGAACUCUGGCCAGAUGCAUUGCUAAGAUCAGCAGGGAAUCCUGAGGCCACUAGAAAGAAAAACAAGGCUUCUAAGAAUCCAGUACUUACCAUUCAGGAUGAGAAAUCUACAGAUGCAAGCCCAAAGCCGUAGCACCAAAGAAUGAACAAGCAGCAAUACUGAGAGCUGUCAGAAAGCCACAGAACUAGCAGGAUUGCACUCCCACAUAGCCCAUGUACUGAGGGUGCCACAGCUGGCACCAGUGGGUGUGCCAGGACAGCCACCAGGAUUCUUGACAAACACUCAGCAUCUGGCCAAGGACUGGAUACACAGUGCUUUCUAAUCCCACUCAAAGUACAGAGCAGGUGAUCAAAAAGGCACUUCUGAGCCAACAAGCCCUUCUAAUGUUUACUUCUGACUGGCAAAUGCAGCUCAGGGAUGAGUCGAGGCCUCUUCUUCUACUGCCCUUUUGCGUGUGCAUGAGGAUGAAUUCCACAGAAUCAGUAGCAAACCUCAAGGGAAACUGUCAAGAUGACAAAGGCGACUACACAAAGGGAAUGUCAUUUUCAAGACACCCCAGGCUUCCAUCUCCUGUUCAGAAUGGCUGAUAACCCAGAGAGCAAGGAGGCAUUUCAUCUCACUGCAGGCCAUCCAUGAGGAGCUGUGCAAUACAUUUCAGCAGGGAAGAGCAAGAGGGACCGGUAGGACAAGAGGUGUAUGAUCUGCAUUGCUUCCAUACCCAUGGCUUGCCCAUACUCUGUAUGUUAUUUGAGUGCCUCUCAUACGCUCCUUUUUAUGUAGAGCAGAAACUCACACAGGCUUAGAAGAACUGAUGAUGCAGGUUACCUGAGUUACAGAUCAUACAUGCAAGCACGGAGUUCUACAUUACAAGGCAUAACAAACCAUUUCACUGUAACACAGAGCUUGCAGCCAUCUUAAUUAAGCACAGUUCAGAAGAGUGUAUUAUCUGACCCCAUUUAAAAUACUAAAUGCCUUUUCAACAUUCAGCACACAACACACAUCAACAUUAAUAAAAGCAUUGCUAUAAUCUG